GUUAGGGUUAGGUUUUUGGACUGAAAGAGACGGGGGUUGGGGGAGAAGAGGAAGGUUAUUUUGAUAGUUUCAUUUUGGAACUGAAAUGUAAUAAAAAAAAAUUCAUUAAGUGUGUGUAAAGAGGGUAAAUGGUGUGUGCAAAUAAAGGCUCCCCAGUUCUUCUUAGCAUUUUUGAAAACAGGAAUCUUCUCCUCUCUCUCUCUCUCUCUUUCUCUCGCGCGCGCGCGCGCACACACACACAGAACCAGUCACCACCAAACCUCACCUCACUGCAGUCGUUCACCACCAUUGCUUACUGUAAGACGCACAGCGCCACCACACCGCCGCAAAUCACACCGCCACCGCUUCAAUACGAACAGGUUCUCUCUCUCUCUCUCUCUCUCUUCCCCUUCCUCUAUUUUCCCAUUUUGUCACUCUUGCUCUAGGGUUUAUAUUAUUUAUUUAGUUUAAUUUCCUGUUUAGCUUGUUUUUGGUUUAAUUUCUUCAACUUGCAGUAAAUUUGGAGUUGCAUUAGUAGAUUGUCUAGCUAAUUUAACAGUUCUCUUUGUUUUUGUUGAGGGAAAAAUUUGGGUUCAUUGAGGCAUUUGAGUUUAUCAAGGAAAAAUUUGGGGUCCCUGCGAUUGUGUGUCCUGCUUUGAGGGGUUUAGGAGCUGGGUUGAUGGCUGUCAAGUAUCCUGGAAUACUCUACUGAGUUUCACUAAUGUUGAUGAAAUUCUUCAUAUUGGAAAGACGGCUUUGGUCAUUAGUGCUGAUUCAUGGGUAUUAGUGGUGAAAAAUGUGAAGUUCACUGAAAAGGAUGAAAGAUUUGUGAAAGAGUGGAAGAAGUAUCUUGAAGGAGGCGAGAAUAAUAAAGGAUGUGCCUGUGUGGAAAGUUGGUGAAAGUGUCUAUAACUUUGGAAGAUGGAUGCCUCCUGCAACCACUGAGCUCCGUCCUGAUGUCUGGUGAUGCCAUUGUCUUGGGCUGAGUGGACUGUUGUUUUGUAUCUUUCAUUUCCUAAUGAAGAUGGGACAAAAGUUGAAUACAGGGUAUGGAAUCCUUUCCAUUGAAUACAUUGUUUUUUUCUUGCCUCCAAACUGUUUGAUAAAAUGUCUCUUAGACUUUCCAACAAAAUUCUCGCCAACUUCUGCAAGUUACAGAUGGUUUUGUUGCGUGGACUUGUGGAUAAUUCAUAUUGGUGUAUGAAGAAGAAUUUUCACUUUUGUGUAGAAUUAAUAUAAUACUUUUGUCGUCCUCAGCUUUUGUGUAGUUCAUUAUUACUGAUAUAGAAAAAUUUUGGCAAUCAAUAGAUAAUGACUGUCGUGGUACAUAGAUUACCUUCUGUCGUGGUACAUAUAUACCAUUUGUCGGCAUACAUAUAGGAUGUUUUGUCAUGGUCUGUAGAAAACUUUUGUCGUGGUUCAUAUAUCACCUUUUGUCGUGGUACAGAUUACGAUAGUAAUAUGUACCAUGCCAAAUGGUAAUUUCGCUUGGUAGUAAAUGUAUUUUUUGUAUACGGAGGGUUUUGAUUUUUAUAUGAUAUAUUUU